UUAGUCCUACGGGGGGCAGCAGUGGGGGAUAUUGGACAAUGGGGGAAACCCUGAUCCAGCGAUGCCGCGUGAGGGAAGAAGGUUUUCGGAUUGUAAACCUCUGUGGACAGGGACGAUAAUGACGGUACCUGACUAAGAAGCCCCGGCUAACUACGUGCCAGCAGCCGCGGUAAUACGUAGGGGGCAAGCGUUAUCCGGAUUUACUGGGCGUAAAGGGAGCGUAGACGGCGAUGCAAGUC
rnacentral:rRNA from 1 species